rnacentral:rRNA from 1 species
AGGGGGGCAACUCCCUGAGUAAAGCGGCGAACGGGUGAGUAACACGUAGGUGAUCUACCCUCGAGUCCAGGAUAACCUACCGAAAGGUGGGCUAAUACCGGAUAUGACCACGGGAGUUACGGCUCCUGCGGUGAAAGGUGGCCUCUGCUUGCAAGCUACCGCUCAAGGAUGAGCCUGCGCGCCAUUAGCUAGUUGGUGAGGUAACGGCUCACCAAGGCGAUGAUGGCUAGCUGGUCUGAGAGGAUGGCCAGCCACACUGGGACUGGAACGCGGCCCAGACUCCUACGGGAGGCAGCAGUGGGGGAUAUUGCGCAAUGGGCGAAAGCCUGACGCAGCGACGCCGCGUGGGUGAUGAAGGCCUUCGGGUCGUAAAGCCCUGUCGAGGGGAACGAAACGGUCACGACCUAACACGUCGUGGCCCUGACGGUACCCCUAAAGGAAGCACCGGCUAACUCCGUGCCAGCAGCCGCGGUAAUACGGAGGGUGCGAGCGUUGUUCGGAAUCACCGGGCGUAAAGGGCGCGUAGGUGGCUUGGCAAGCGCGUGGUGAAAGCCCGGGGCUCAACCCCGGGUCUGCCAUGUGAACUGCUAUGGCUCGAGCACUGUAGAGGCAGGUAGAAUUCCGGGUGUAGCGGUGGAAUGCGUAGAGAUCCGGAAGAAUACCGGUGGCGAAGGCGGCCUGCUGGGCAGUGGCUGA